rnacentral:lncRNA from 1 species
AGAAGCAGAUCAGAAAUCGAACACGUUUGCUUUUGCGAUUCGAGAGCCCUUUCUGGCGCGGAGCUAGGGGCGGUGUUACGUAGCUGCCCUGAACUGAGAGCAGCGUUGGCCGGGGGCUAGGGAGCCGGGCUGUUCCACGCUCACUGUGCGCCUCGGGCGGCGGGGCUCGGGCUCUGUCCGAGGUGCUGAACUCCGGGGCUCCGGCCGCGCCGGCAGAGUGUGCCAGCGUCCAUUAUUGCCAGUGUCUGUGGGCAUCUUCCAGAAGGCCGAGCAUGGGGGUCAGGUGAAACCAGGGCGCUCCCAAGCACCUUGCCCAGUAGAGCCCCCUUGCACCCUGCUUGGUUGGUCAGCACCCCAUGGACAUGCAGCCUUGACCUUGGCAUGGGAAGCCUCCACUGUGUCAAGCCCAACAUCCAGGCCUCUGAAGACAGUCAUUCAGCCAUGAAUAUCAAUUAUUACAGAAAUGAAAAGGGAUCCUGCACCCAAAUUCAAAUCAAGCAAGUUCACCUAGAGGUUGCCGUGGGGUGGAGGGCCCAGAUCUGGGCUGUUUGGAUCUCUCUGCAGGAUGAAAGGGAUUUCCUGGACCUGGCUUUGCUGUCCCUUGCUCCUUUUGCCUGCACAGUGGCAGCAGCUGUGGCCAGAGGGACACCAGUGGACACAGAGGCCCAGGGAGAGGAGCAGAGGCCAGCAGGAAACAGCAAAUGCAGAGGCCCAAAGUGACCAGGACACCGUCCUUGUGCACAUCCUGGGAGGAGCCGACGUCUAAAGAAGGGCUGAAGCCUGAAAAUCUGGCAUGACUAGAGCUCAAAGUCAUGGCUGCUUGGGGCACUGUUAGAAAUGUGCCUCCUUGUGUUCUCCCAGUGAUGUGAUAAAGGUGGCAUCUCACUGAAAAGGACCAGGGUUAGGAGGGCUCAGGAGCUAUGGGGUGGCCCAGGGACAGAGAGCUGCUCAUCAAAAUCAGUGUCAAAGCUGCAUGUGCAGCCCUGGUGCUCGGGGGGCUCUGGUGCAGGGUGUGCUGUGGCGUUCCUCGACGACGAUGUUGCUUUACUGGGGGAAGUAUCCUGGUACUGGCAGGGUCAGAAGAGGGUAGUGAGGAGUGUGGUGCUUCUGGGAGCCAUGUGAAUUGAAGUGGAAUAAUUAGCCAGGCAUGGUGGAGGGUGCCUGUAAUCCUAGCUACUCAGGAGGCUGAGGCAGGAGAAUCACUUAAACCUGCGCAGAGGCUGCAGUGAGCUGAGAUCACACCGCUGCACUCCAGCCUGAGCGACAAGAGUGAAACUCGGUCUCAAAAAAGAUAUAGAUAGAUAUAGAUAGAUACAGAUGAUAGAUAGAUAGAUAUCUGAAAGAUUCACAGAGAGUAAAUGACAGUGUCCAAACAAAAAGUGUCCUUUCCGCCCUUGCACAGUGCCGCCCCCAUUCCAAAAACUCCCUUUCCACUGACCUGCUGCCUGUGUGCAUUGUAAUCCAGCUCACUCUCUCCCACUCAGAGCUGCCAGGCAGGGCUACAAACACAGGGCACGAAGCUGCCGUCCUCCCUACCUGGCCAGUGGCAAACAUCACUAAACCCAGCCACCCUUCCCACCAAACCUGCCCGAGGCCUUGGGCUUCUUCCCAUCACAGCGGUCCACACAGCCACCGCCUGCCAGUCAGCAUUAGUUACAGCCACCUGACGCUUGUCUUCAAAUCCAAGAGAGAGGUGCAGGUCAACUGUGACCCUGGGGCCGAGGCCAAGUCAACCACACCCAUUUGUUUGGGUAUCACCUAUGCUGUGCUCAUACUGCAAAGGCCAAGUUGAGCAGUUGAGACAGAGACUGUGUGGCCCACAAAGCCUAAGAUAUUGACCACCUGGCCCUUUACAGGAAAAGCCUGCCAACCCCAGUUAGAAGCAAAGCAUGCUCAAAUUUGUAUUUUUUUUCCCAGAAUAAGAUUGUCAUUAAACUUAUAAAUAGGGUUUCUUAACCUAUUCACACAGUGAAAUGCAGACAGCCCGAGAGUUGUUAUCUAAACUAAAAAAGAAGAGAAUGGGAAAACCUAAUUAUCCUGGAUGUCACAUGCUGACUCCAGGGGUGACUAUACUUUAGUUGACUCAACCUUGGUUUGGAAACUUGCUUUCACUCCCUCCCUGGAGUCAGAAGCCUUCCCAGACAGCAUGUUCUCUGGUCUUGGUCUUCGAAGCUACGGGGAGUUGUGCCAAGGAAGCUCACCCUCCACAGGCCUAGAGCACGACGAUGCCAGGGUCAGGUGUUGCUAACAGCCCUUCCCUCUCUUCCACCUCCUCAAGCCCCCUCCCCAGGAACAGUGGAGGGAGAAUGAAAGAAGGCACAGUUUCACCUUCUCCAUCUGCCUUGGAAGCCGCAACAUCUGCCUUCCAAUUAGGAUGGAGUUACCGGGGUGACGGGGUUGGCUAGCAGGCCCCUCGGCUCCUGACUCCUCUGGGGCAGCCCCCUGCUCUAAUGAAGAGCUAAUUAACAUGAAAAGCAUUGAUUUAGCCAACUGCUGCUUGUAUAAUCACAAGGCACUCUCAGCAGCAGCUUCAAAGCUGUCUCUCCCUUCAGAACACAGGAUUCGCAUAAAGCGUGGGACUAAACCCUCCCCGUGUUUUUAAACAGUGAUUUCCCCACACUCCUGAAGUGAAAACACCAGCUCUGUAAGUCGACCACGUAGGCGCCCCUCUCGCUGCCUUCAAGGGGAACUCUGGUGGGUUUGGUAAAUGUUAGUACUUGCCCGUGUGACCCAGAGAUUGGGUUAGGAAUCAGGUUCCAUCUUCUCUCCUGGCUCACAAACGUGUGUGUUGCCAAGAACUAGUAGGAGGCCAUGGCUGUGCUCUAGCUGUCUCAACAGAGAAGUAGCUUAAACCCUUACAGUGAGGGGUGGGGUGCCUUAACUAUAAGGAACAAAGGCAUGAGAGGCCUCUAAGACAACAUCUGCAUGGAUUUGUUUGACUCCCUCAUCCCAAAUGAUGAUCAUUCAUCUCCCUGAUCAUCCAUGUGGGAAAGUUUGAGGCCAGAUACCAGCUCGAAGCAAGACCAAGAAAUUCAGGCUCUGGCUUGGUAGACUUCUGAGGUAGAGUGCCGUAUGAACCAUACUUUUACUGUCUGAAAAUUGAUCUUUAACAUCUACAGGAUGGCUACUAGCUGCUCCCAUGUAAACCCUGCAGUACCCGAAAACAUCCAGAGACUUUAGAUAGCCCCCAAACCAGCCACAAUGGAUGGGAUUUUGCAGGGGCACCACCUCCAAACAUAGCGGGCCAGUCUGCCUUAUGGCCAACCCUUGUGUUCCAGUGGCCCAGCUUGGUGUGCCAUGUUCUCACCAAAGGACUAUCAGUGUCAUAAAACUGUGAAACUCUUUCUAGUUUCUCUCUUGACCUGCAUCUGACCUCAGCAGACUUCACCCAAGGUAGCAUUGGUUAGAAGAAAGCAAGUGGAGCCCAUGAUUCUAAAACUGUGACGACGGAAGGGUCAUUCAUCAAAGGUUUUGACUGAAGGAAGUGAAUUGGAAGCCAAGGGAAAAUUCCAAGAAAGAAAAGGACUUAACUGAAAAAAGGUCAUUAUAGACUCAAUCCCUUUCCUUUAUUUAUAAGUUUAAUAGAUUAGUUUGGAAUUUGUUGAAGAUACUUUUCAUCCAGAUUUCAGGGAGGUACAUAGCAUGGUAACCCUGUGAAGACAUUGGAGCAAUGGAUAGUUAUACAUCCAGGUAGAUCGGAAACCAGUUCAACAACUCUAGCCAAAGGCUAUUGAUAAAAGACAACUGACAUCUAGAAGGAGGUCAGAGCCACUAACUAGACGGUAGCUGUGCCUUGGAUGAAGCUUAUCUAAUUUGCAGCUGUCAUGAAGUUGAGUACAAUACUGAACAAGUCGACGACAGACUCCUCUGUACGGCAGCAUCACUUUGUCAUUAAGCACACAGACUCUGAGCUGAAUCUGCCCAGGAUCGGAUCCCAGCUCCAGCACUUACUAGCUAGUUAUGUUUCGCAAAUUACUUAGGCUGUGAGUAUUAGUUCCAACACUCAACUGAGCCUCUCCCUCAUUAAACCAACAAGAGAAUUUAAAGGGAUUGUAUAGGCCAGGUAAGGUGGCUCACACCUGUAAUCCCAAUACUUUAGGGGGCCAAGGUGGCAGAGUCGCGGGAGUCCAGGAGUUUGAUGCCAGCCUAGGAAACAUAGUGAGACCAUGUCUCUAGUAAAAAUAAAAAUAAAAUAAAAAUGUAAUUAGCUAGGCAUGAUGGCACACCCUUAUAGUCCCAGCUACUCAGGAGCCUGAGGGAGGAGGAUCAAGGAUGCAGUGAGCCGUGUUCAUGCCACUGCACUCCAGCAUGAGUGACAGAGCAAGACCACAUCUCUUAAAAAAAUAAGAAAGAGGGCUGGGCAUGGUGGUUCACACCUAUAAUCGCAACACUUUGGGAGGCUGAAGCGGGCAGAUCAUUUAAGGUCAGGAGUUCAAGACCAGCCUGGCCAACAUGAUGAAACCCUGUCUCUACUAAAAAUACAAAAAAAUUAGCUGGGUGUGGUGGCACAGCUACUGGGAAGGCUGAGGCAGGAGAAUCACUUGAACCCAGGAGACGGAGGUUGCAGUGAGCUGAGAUCCAACCACUGCACUCCAGCCUGAGCAACAGAGUGAGACUCUGUCUCAAAAAAAUGUAAAAAUAUAAAGAAAAGAAUAAAAAGGAUAGUAUCUGUAAAGUGCCUGGAACAGAGUUAGUGUUCAACAACUGUCAGCAGUGUUGUUAGCUGAGGCUGGUCACUGGGUGACUGUAAUAUCAGUCAGGGUCUCAGUGAUAACAGAAAAUACACUCAAAUUGGGAUAAUGUGAGGAUGGAUUGCUUUCUAAAGGGACUAUUUACAAAGGUGUGCUUGAGAUUUAAAGAAUCUGAAGAUAGUGCUAUAACCCAGGGUAGCAAUUGCAAAGCCAUUACCACUCCUAAGCCUAAGGGCCGAGGGGAGGAAGCAGUUGUUAAAACCCAGAGGGAGAGAGAAGCAUAGAAAGGAGGCCACCAAGGGAAACAGUGUCCUUUGGUUGAAGGACACAGGUGACCACCCUGGGAGGAAGUGAGCGGAGUAAACACCCCCACCCUCUCUCUGAUUCCAGCUGGAGCACCCAUUGGCCAAACCCAACAAGAAGCGCAAGAAUGGGUGAGCCUGGCCAUACAGGUCAGUUUCUGGGGCAGAAAGCGGGGUGGAAAAAGGUGACAGUGGGUCUGGAGGGACAGAAAGACACCUGGUACGAGCAUGUUACAUUUGUUGGGGACAAAGUUAAAAUCCUGCCUGUCAUUUCAAUGAAGCGACUACAACAAUAUUCAGGAUGGCAGAUAUUUAAGAGCAGCAUCUAGAAACAAUGAUUAAAAGGGUUCAGUCGGCUACAAGUCCAAUAUUCAGCCAUUCAUUCAUUUACUCAGCAAAUGCAGGGAAUGCACACUGUGUGUCCAGACCUGCACUAAGCAUGACAAUACAAAAAUAAACAGAACAAGAAUGUAUCCUGAGCAGAGGACAUACUGGCAUACAGUCGGUGCUCAGUGAAUAUAUGUGGAACAUGUGAAUGAAUCAACUUCAUCGUAAUGGACUGUCUUCAUAGUCCAAUAUGGACAUAAGAUGAUUUGGUGGCAGCAGUGACUAGGGGAGGGGAGGCGGAGGGCAGGGACAGGUAGUAUCAGACCCAGUCACAAUGCUUGUUGAAGUGGUGGUAAGGGGAUUGGGAGACUCUCUUCUAGACAGAAAUGCGGGGCAUGUCCAGGGCCCUGGCUCCCUCAGGUCCCAUGUGCAAAAAGAAGCAUGACAUCCAAAAGCUCGAUGGUUUCCCAAAUGCCCAGGGAAGCCCCAAGUGCGAAGGCUGGCAGGGAGGUCAAGCCAGGUGAGUGGCGGCAGCCAGUCUCCCCUCAGCUGCCAUGGCCGGUGGGCCCGGAGCACAGGGAGGGCAGGCACCAGGCUUGUGCAAACUCCAGCUCUCAGGCAGGUGUGAUCCUGUUGUACCGUGUAGGGAGGGGUCCCUGAAAACUGUCAGUCUGAAGGCCCUGGAGGGGAGGUGUGGACUUCCGCAUGGGUGAUUCCCAAGCCCAGCAACAGAGCAGAGCAGGGUGUGGUCCAGGGAGUGUCAGGGUCAGAUUCUGGGUCACCAUCACCACCCCAGGAAAAGAGAAAUCCAAAUAGCAAAAAUAAAGAAGAAAUGGGCAAUUUUAGCUGAUGGGGGGCAAAUGGAGGUUUCUUGGGGGAAGACAAAGAGGCUGUCUUCAGACCUCCAAACCGAGUCUGAAGGCCAGCUGGGGCAAUCGCUGGGGCAAUCGCUGGGGCAAUCGCUAAAUCUGCCUGCUUGGAAGCAGCAUCAGCAUCCGAGAGCUACCGUGCCUCCAGCCCAGGUCUGAGGUGUGAAGGCCUCCUGAAGCCCUGAGAGCCACUUUUGGGAAACCUCUCCAAAUCCUGCACAUGCUGCAAGACAUGAUUAAAACCCAGCCCAGCCAUCUACAGGUUUUAUGAUUUGGGGCAAGUCAGUAAAUGUCUCUGAGCCUCAAAGUCUGCAAAUAUCUAAUGGGAGUAAUCCAACUUCCCAGGGUUAUUGUGAGGAUCAGAUGAACUCGUUAUGGUAAAAUACUUAGCACAGUACCUGGCACAGAUUAGAGACCCAAGGGCUAAUGCCUUUCUCCUCCUCCUUCACCUACUGCUUGAUGCUUUGCAGAAAGCAGUGGUUCCGAAAGCAAAUGGGGCUUUAAGAGUGAGGGUGGGACAACAAGACCAUCUCUGUGGCCUAGAAGAGGCCGCAUCAUGGGGACUAGCGUCCUCCCAGUUCUGCCAGUUGUUCUUCCUGUCUUUGAAGUUCCCCAGGGACCACGGUGAGCCUAUCCAGGCAAGAAAGCCCAGGCAGACUGGGCUCAGUGGCUCACACUUGUAAUUCCAGUGUUUCGGAAGGCCAAGGCAGGGGGAUCACUGAAGCCCAGGAGUUCGAGGCCAGCCUGGGCAACAUAGGGAGACCGCUGUCUCUACAAAAAAAAAAAAAUUAAAAAAUUAGCUGGGCAUGAUGGUACACGCCUGUAGUCCCAGCUACUUGGGAGGCUGAAGUGGGAGGAUCAUUUGAGCCUGGGAGGUGGAGGCUGCAGUGAGCCAUGGUCAUGCCCCUAUACUCCAGCCUAGGCGACAGAGCAAGGCCCUGUCGAAAGAAAGAAAGAAGAAAGAGAGAAACAGGUAGGGAGGGAAGGAGAGAAAGAAGGAGAGAAAGAGGGAGAGAGAGAAAGAAAGAGAGAGAGAAGGAGAGAGAGAGGAAGGAAGGAAGGAAGGAAGGAAGAAGGAAGGAAGGAAGGAAGGAAGGAAGCAAGCAAGCAAGCAAGCAAGCAAGCAAGCAAGCAAGCAAGGAAGGCCGGCCCAGACAGCGCCCUCAGCUGGUGGAGGUUUGCAGAGUUCCAGGGCUCAGCUACCAGCUUCUGGUCCCUACCUGACUCAGGGCUGCUGGGGACUGAGGAGCAUCUCCUUGGCCGUCGAAUGCAUGUACCUGGAGAGCUUUUGCUUUUCAUUUUCCUCCGGCCCUCUUAGCACGUCUCCACGCCACUGUCGAGCUGGAUGCAUCUGCCAAAUGUAAAUCCUCCGGGUUGUCUGAGUGAACAAGCAUUCCAAAGGGGAAGCUCCUAGAAUUCCUGGGCCCUGGUUGCCCUCAGAGCUCAUCUAGACCAGAGAACGCUUUCAGAGGAACAGCCCUCUCUAAGAAGGCAAUUAAAGCUCCACUCUUCCCCUCCAGAACUGCAUAAUUAUACCUUGUACAAACACACACACACACAAAAUUCUUAAAAUUUCAAGUGUUUCACAGAAUUCCCAGCCAUGGAUCCAUAGAUCUCAAGUUAAGAACCCUGGAUUCACCUAACCCCCUCAGGUUGCAGAUGUAGGAGCUGAGGCCCAGAGAGGGGAAAGGACUUGGAUGGCCAAGAUCACACAGGAGUUAGUGGCAGAGCCAGGGGAAUAUUUUCAAGCUGCCUCUGAUACCUCUCUUGGGCUUCUUGAUGCUCCUUUCAGUGUGAGAGCAUGAGGAAUAGGAGAAGGAGCCUGAAAGCCCUAUAAUCCUGACAGGCAGCACUCUGGCCGAAGGUGGGAUCAUUUGCGUAAAAGCUCACAUUUGCCUAAACCUGGAGAAAUAAUAGCAGGGUUUCUCUCCAGCUGCCAGGGCCCUUUCUCACCACCAGGUGGCGCUUGCAUCAUGCAUUAGACUGGAGUUACAGCCAGAAAGCACUUGAAAAUAGGGGAGAUCUCAGUUCGUCUCCUGAUUACAGAUGGGGAAACUGAGUCCAAGAGAAAGCAAAGGACUUCUUGAGUUAUCCUGGACAAUUAUCUUCCUUGUCCAUGAUCCUGUUUCCCUUGUCCAACCACAAGUAAGGCAUUUAGACUAGAAUCAGUUUCCAACAAUGGAACUUUGGGUGUAGCGGAAGUUGCUUGGGGAGGUUUCUUGGGGAAGACACAGAGGCUGUCUUCAGGCCUCCGAGUGAGCAGAGCCUCUGAGCCCCUCACUCUGUGCUGCCACGAGCCCAGCCCCAUUUUACCUGUUUGACACACUAAGCUUCAAUGUAUAAUUUCAUUCAAACAAAGGGUUAUGUGCCUAAAAUACUUUGAAAAUCCCUGAUCAGGAAUUCCACACAACUCUACUCUAGGUAUCUUUGUGGCUUCAAACACUCAAGUGUUUCCAAACUGGCAAAGGCACAUGGUGCUGAUAAGAGGAGAGAGGCUGGAGAGACCCCCAGCCAGGAGGGCAGAGCUGGGAUUCAAGCCCAGCUGGGAUUCAAGCACAUCUGACUUCAGAUGCGGGCUCCUUCACAGCGUCAGCCAUGCACAAUAAUGGAGCACCUACGUUGCACCAGGGAUUAGCCCUGUGUAUGUUCAGUGCAGUCACAUCUGUUAUUUAAUCUGCCUCUCCCAACUUUGUCACUGUGUGUAAGGAUUACCUCCCCAUUUUACAGAUGAGAAAACUGAGGCUCAAAUGAUCUGUUUAAGAGAGAAAAAUGAACCAGAUUUUCUCACAGAUAAGAUUAUCUUGGUCUUCCAGUCUCUCCAGGGGAAUCUAGAAAUAAGCAGGAAAACUAUGGGUACCCCCAGAGCACCCCUGACCCAGGCCUCUCCUUGUGGUCCACUCACUGCCUCUGUCUCUUGGGUACACAUCUCCAUCCCUUCAUUCAUACUCAGCUCCUCCCUCCCUCUUUCCCACUAUAGACUCCCUGGACAUCCCCAGCCUGAUCUCCUUGACACCAGUCAACCUUCCACAGACCCCAGGAAGCCUGACACCUGGAUUAGGCAGGAGGCUGCCUGGGACCCAAACCCCUCCCCAAUUCACCAUGUCUGCAAGCUCACCACUAAGAGUGUCAAUAUUUGGGGCUGAAGACUUUUCCCAUGGUAAAACUAAAACCUCUGGGAAGCCACAUAUUUUAAUCUAAAAUUAGACAUUUGAAUCCCAGAGCGAGUGAGUAUCUGAUCUUUUCCAGAGAGCAAGGAGAGAAGAAAAAAAUUACACAAAGUCUGGGAAUUGCGGCUUACACCUUCAAUCCCAGUACUUUGGGAGAUGAGGUGGGAGGAUUGCUUGAGCCCAGGAGCUUGAGACCAGCCUGGGCAACAUAGUGAGACCCCAUCUCUACAAAAAAAUUUUUGAAGAAUAUCCUGGCAUGGUGGCCUACACCUGUAGUCUCAGCCACUCGGGAAGCUGAAGUGGGUGGAUCACCUGAGCCCAGGAAUUUGAGGUAGCAGUGAGCUAUAAUCAUGCUACUGCACUCCAGCCUGGACAACAGAGCAAGACCUUGUCUCUGAAAAAGAAGGAAGGAAAGAAAGAAAAGAAAGAAAGAGAGAGAGAGAAAGGAAGGAAGGAAGGAAAGAAAGGAAGAGG